AGGAAUAAGGCUUCUGUCUACUACUGGAGACACUGAUAGUGUAAAACCCAGAGUCUUCAGUAAUGGACAGGAGCCUUAUUUCU
ensembl:miRNA MIR934 microRNA 934